rnacentral:lncRNA from 1 species
ACAGUGUGGGUGCCCUCAAGGUGUGUACGACCAUGGAAUGGGAGACUGGAGGGACACAUGGAUCCCAACCAUGGGCCUGGUUCCCCCACUAUGAGCUGAAUACGAAGACAGAACAAACCACCAACCGGCAAUUGAAGGAUGAUGCCCGUUGUAUUUCCUAGGAAGGGAUAAGUUUUAAGGCCUUAUAAAAAGUGACACACAGUGAACCGGGUUCUAUAAAUUACCAUGGCAAGUGGUGAGCCAACGAUUUGGCAGAACAAAGCCCCGAGGAUAUGACAAACAAAAGGGAAUAUGGAAUUUGCAAUUGCAGAUUAAAAUUGAAGAAGAAAACAUUUGAGUUGCAAAUACCAUAUUAAAAGUGGACACUGCUUAUGACUGCUGUACGCAAUAGUUUUUCAGGCCCGAGGUGAUAAAUAAAAAAUUGUUUGCUCCAUUU